GACGAACGCUGGCGGCGUGCUUAGCACAUGCAAGUCGAACGGUAAGGCCCUUCGGGGUACACGAGUGGCGAACGGGUGAGUAACACGUGGGUGAUCUGCCCUGCACUUCGGGAUAAGCCUGGGAAACUGGGUCUAAUACCGGAUAGGACCACUGCCUGCAUGGGUGGUGGUGGAAAGCUUUUGCGGUGUGGGAUGGGCCCGCGGCCUAUCAGCUUGUUGGUGGGGUGAUGGCCUACCAAGGCGACGACGGGUAGCCGGCCUGAGAGGGUGACCGGCCACACUGGGAAUGAGCUACGGCCCAGACUCCUACGGGGGGCAGCAGUGGGGAAUAUGGCACAAUGGGCGCAAGCCUGAUGAAGCGACGCCGCGUGAGGGAUGACGGCCUUCGGGUUGUAAACCUCUUUCAGUACCGACGAAGCGCAAGUGACGGUAGGUGCAGAAGAAGGACCGGCCAACUACGUGCCAGCCGCCGCCGUAA
rnacentral:rRNA from 1 species